UACGGAGGAGGCAAGCGUUAUCCGGAAUUAUUGGGCGUAAAGCGUCCGCAGGUGGCAAUGUAAGUCUGCUGUCAAAGCGUCUGGCUCAACCAGAUAAAGGCAGUGGAAACUACAUAGCUAGAGUAAGGUAGGGGUAGAGGGAAUUCCUGGUGUAGCGGUGAAAUGCGUAGAGAUCAGGAAGAACACCGGUGGGGAAAGCGCUCUGCUGGACCUUAACUGACACUGAGGGACGAAAGCUAGGGGAGCGAAUGGG
rnacentral:rRNA from 1 species